rnacentral:rRNA from 1 species
GACGAACGCUGGCGGCGUGCUUAACACAUGCAAGUCGAACGGUAAGGCCCUUCGGGGUACACGAGUGGCGAACGGGUGAGUAACACGUGGGUGAUCUGCCCUGCACUUCGGGAUAAGCCUGGGAAACUGGGUCUAAUACCGGAUAGGACCACUGCCUGCAUGGGUGGUGGUGGAAAGCUUUUGCGGUGUGGGAUGGGCCCGCGGCCUAGCAGCUUGUUGGUGGGGUGAUGGCCUACCAAGGCGACGACGGGUAGCCGGCCUGAGAGGGUGACCGGCACACUGGGACUGAGAUACGGCCCAGACUCCUACGGGAGGCAGCAGUGGGGAAUAUUGCACAAUGGGCGCAAGCCUGAUGCAGCGACGCCGCGUGAGGGAUGACGGCCUUCGGGUUGUAAACCUCUUUCAGCACCGACGAAGCGCAAGUGACGGUAGGUGCAGAAGAAGGACCGGCCAACUACGUGCCAGCCGCCGCAGUAACAC